GAUGAACGCUGGCGGCGUGCCUAACACAUGCAAGUCGAGCGAUUUACUUCGGUAAAGAGCGGCGGACGGGUGAGUAACGCGUGGGUAACCUGCCCUGUACACACGGAUAACAUACCGAAAGGUAUGCUAAUACGAGAUAAUAUGCUUUUAUCGCAUGGUAGAAGCAUCAAAGCUUUUGCGGUACAGGAUGGACCCGCGUCUGAUUAGCUAGUUGGUAAGGUAACGGCUUACCAAGGCGACGAUCAGUAGCCGACCUGAGAGGGUGAUCGGCCACAUUGGAACUGAGACACGGUCCAAACUCCUACGGGAGGCAGCAGUGGGGAAUAUUGCACAAUGGGCGAAAGCCUGAUGCAGCAACGCCGCGUGAGCGAUGAAGGCCUUCGGGUCGUAUAGCUCUGCCCUCAAGGAAGAUAAUGACGGUACUUGAGGAGGAAGCCCCGGCUAACUACGUGCCAGCCGCCGCGGUAA
rnacentral:rRNA from 1 species